rnacentral:rRNA from 1 species
UACGGGGGGGGCAAGCGUUGUUCGGAAUUACUGGGCGUAAAGGGCUCGUAGGCGGCCAACUAAGUCAGACGUGAAAUCCCUCGGCUUAACCGGGGAACUGCGUCUGAUACUGGAUGGCUUGAGUUCGGGAGAGGGAUGUGGAAUUCCAGGUGUAGCGGUGAAAUGCGUAGAUAUCUGGAGGAACACCGGUGGCGAAGGCGGCAUCCUGGACCGACACUGACGCUGAUGCGCGACAGCGUGGGGAGCAAACAGG